rnacentral:rRNA from 1 species
AUGGCCACCGCCGCCGCGCUCUGCCGGGCCCUCGCCCUGGCACCGGCGCUGCUCCUCCUCCGCCAGGCUCUCGUGCGCCUCCUCUCCACGCAGGCCCAGUCCUCCACGGCCCCCACCAUCAGCCCCGCCGAGCUCGUCCGCAUCAAGAACUCCAUCCGCAGCGCCGCCACGCCGCCCGACGAGGUCGCCGCCCUCUUCCUGAAAGGCAUCCCGCACCCGCCCUUCCUCGGCGACCGCUGCAUCUUCUCCCUCGCCGUCUCCCGCCUCACCGCCGCCACCCACCCAACCUCGUCUGCUCCGUGCUCUCCGCCUCCCUCACCGCCCUCCCGGUGCCGCAUCAUUCUGAGGGCUUCCUUAUCCGCCUCAUCGCGCUCUACACCGCCGCCAGCAUGCCCACACACUCCCUCUCCACCUUCCGCCUCGUCGUGGCCCCUUCGACCGCGCCCUCUCCGCCCUCCUCGCCGCCUACUACGACGCCGGCCAGCCCGCCCGCGCCAUCUAGGCAUUCCGCGACCUCCCAGCCGAGCUCUCCGUCAUGCUGGGCGUCGUGUCCCACAACAUGCUCCUCAAGUGCAUGGUCACCACGGGGGACGUCGUUGGCGCCCGCCAGGUGUUCGACGGAAUGCCUAG